AAGUAUUGUUUUUAAAGGGACAGAAUAAUUUCAUGGGCGAGGGCUUUGGACAGAGAGCCAAGCAGAAAAUAGCAAAGGCCCGUUGGCAGGGAGCCUAUAGGACGUGGAAAGGAGAAGGAAGGCAAUCAGAACAGCCUUGUCGACAUUCAGAAAGCAGGAUCUGGUGGACAGAUAUAUCUUCGUCACACUGUGGGAUUUCAACGCAGAUAGUUUGACGUCGAUUUCACUGAAGAUCUGGAGAUCCAGUCUGUUGUCUAAAACGCAAACUCUUCCUCCUCCAGCUAUGAUGGGAGUGUUAGUUCACUGACUGCCCUUGUCAUUGUCAUCGUUAUAUGUGUUUGUUGUGGGGGAGGAACAGAAAGAAAGGCCUGCACUCCCUCAUUCCAUGCAAAUAACCUUUCAACUCCUCACAGUCUUGAAGCAACAACAAGAACAACUCUAGAGCUCCGACAAAGAGGACGGAGAAACAGAGGAGGAGGAAAGGGCAGGAGUUCCUAGAAAGUAGGUUGUGUCUCUGGAAUGCCUGGCUCAGAAUGCAGCUGUUGAGCAGUCCACUCCUUUCAGGAGCCAAGGGGAGGCGUGAUUGGCCGCUGGCCUUAUCUGGGUGGAGCUGUAGGAGGGAUAUUACUUAUUCAUUGGCACGUUCUGCAAGGCCCCUCCCACCUCACUGACGCUCGGCCCUUGGCCCCUGUUAGCUGCCUGUGUAUUUGGGAAUGCUGUUGUUGCAUCAGAGGGGCAGUGUUGGAGAUGGCCAAACUCAGGGGCUAAGGUCAGGGUCAAGAUUCAAGGGUCAACACAACUCAGAAGCUGCAGGAGUGGAUGCAGAAGGACCUGGAGCCAAAGCUGC